AGUCAAUAGUCAACACUUAUUAAUUGCAAUUUGCAAUAAUGACACUCCCUUUUCAUAUCAAUAGUCAAUAAUAAUUGGAACACUAUGCACAGCAAUUCAUCUCAAGUCUCAUUAUCGUCACAGUCACCGUACUUCGCUGUUGAGUCCUGACGCCGCCGCUUCUGCUUCCGGUGUCUUGCUUGAUCUCUAAUCUGAUACUUAAUCAGCCUGAAGCACUAUGGGAGACUCCAAACAGACUAUAUAUAUGCUUAUAUGCUUCAAAGUCAAGUAAGGUUACUGUUUUUCUGAGAUCUGAAUAUCGUAUCAUGGGCUGAAAAGGAAGUGAAGAAACACAGGAUUGCCUUUGCACCGACGGUCGAGGUUGAAUAUCAUGAUACUACAACUUCUGUGGUUUUUGGAGUCUGCUCAGUCAAUUAAAAUAUCUCAAUGUUCUAGUAUUACAAUUCUCAAGGCACUGCAUUUCUACCGGGCACCAUGAUAUCUUCAUAGAAAGGCUUAAGAAUGAUUGCAGGGAAAGGUUAUAAUCAAAAUUAAGAGGAAGUAUGGAGUUUGUAGCUCUUGCUGUUGAUAAAACUUUGGGUUUUGUGGCCCAACCAGUUUUUCGGCAGCUGGGUUACAUUUUCUUUUACAACUCUAAUGUCAAGAAUCUAGUUCAAGGAGUUGAGGAACUUGAAGCUGAAAGGAUAGCAGUGCAACAUCAAGUUGAUGAAGCUUUAAGGAAGGGGGAUGAAAUUGAACAGAGAGUUGAAAAUUGGUUAAAACAAGCAAGUGAUAUCAUCUCUAAAACAGAGGAGUUUCAACAAGAUGGAGGACAUAAAGGGACGCGCUCUUGGUUGUUUCCAAAUAGCAUGCGGUUAAGGUAUCGGCUGGGCAAACAGGCAAAGAAGAUGAAAACGGAUGUUGAUGGACUAUUACCAAAAGCUGACUUCAAUGGAGCUUCUUAUAGGCUGGGACCAAGGUCCAUGGAUGCUGCUUUAUCCAAUAUUGGUUAUGAAAGUUUCAAAUCAAGGGAUGAAACCAUGAAAAGUGUAAAGGCAGCACUUGAAGACCCAACUGUCAGAAUGAUUGGAAUCUAUGGACCAGGAGGUGUUGGUAAGACUACUUUAGUCAAAGAAGUUGCUAAGCAGGCUAUGGAUGAAAAUUUGUUCUAUCCGGUGAUUCUCACAAGUGUAACAAGGAAUCCAGACCCCAAGAAAAUUCAGGGAGAAAUUGCUGACAUGUUGGGGUUGAGACUGGAAGAAGAGAGUGAGAUUGGGAGAGCAGAUCGUAUACGGCAGAGGUUGAAGAGAGAGAAGAAGAACACCCUUGUAAUACUAGAUGAUCUUUGGGAAGGAGUCGACUUGAAUAGGUUAGGAAUUCCAUUUGAUGAUGAUGGUUUCAGCCAGAUGACUAUCAAAGACAUACCAGACUUUGACAAUAGCAUGAUGAAGAACGAAAAGGCUACUGGUGAAUACAAAGGGUGCAAAAUUUUGCUAACUUCCAGAAGCAAAGAAGUAUUGUCUACUCAAAUGGAUGUGAAGAAAAAUACAAUUUUCUCUGUGGGUAUUUUGGACAAAAAGGAAGCCGAGAAGUUGUUUAAGAAGGUAGCUGGAGUACAAGGAAAGAAUCCCAAAUUUGAACGUUUAACUACUGAAAUUGUAAGGAAGUGCGGAGGGUUACCCAUGGCAAUUGUUGCUGUUGCAAGAGCGCUGACAAGCAUGGGCUACUUGGACUGGAACAAUGCAAUGGACCAACUGAAAAGGCAAGAAUUUAUGGGACUGCAGAAUCCUAUGGAAUUUUCCGUGAAGUUAAGUUAUGAUCAUUUGGGAAGUGAGAACCUUAAGUCUGUUUUCUUGCUUUGUGCUCAAAUGGGUGAUCGUGCAUUAAUUAUGGACUUGAUGAAGUACUGCAUUGGCUUGGGUAUAUUUCAGGGGGUCCAUACAAUUAGAGAAGCUCGAAAUAGAACAGAUACAUUACUCCAGAAGCUAAAAGACUCAAGUUUGUUGUUGGAUACUGAUUCCAAUGAUCAUUUCAAUAUGCAUGAUAUGAUUCGCGAUGUUGCCCUGUCAAUAGCAUCCAAGGAGCAAAAUGUAUUUUUUCUGAGAAAUGGAAAAAUAGAUGAAUGGCCUGACAUGGAUGAACUUCAAAGGUAUACGGCUAUUUCCAUACACAAUAGUGAAAUCAUUGAUGAGCUUCCAGAAGAUAUAAAUUGUCCUCUGCUUAAAGUCUUUCAUAUUGAUAGUGAUGAUCCGUCAUUGAGAAUACCGGACAAGAUUUUUGAGGGAAUGAAAAAUCUCAGAAUAUUGAUUUUGACUGGCGUUCAUCUACCACACUUACCAAAUUCAAUUAAAUGCCUGAAGAAUCUUAAAAUGCUUUGUUUGGAGAGGUGCCAACUAGGUGAGAACUUAUCCAUCAUUGGAGAGUUGAAAAAACUACGAAUUCUAAGCUUUUCGGGGUCAGAAAUUCAGAACUUACCAAAUGAGUUAGGCAAUUUGGGUAAGUUACAAUUCUUUGACAUCAGUAAUUGCACCAAACUCAAGGGCAUUCCUCCUAAUAUCAUAUCAAGGCAGAGUAGUUUGGAAGAGUUGUAUAUGAGAAAUAGCUUGUCUCAGUGGGAAACUGAAGGACAAACAAGCCAAACUCAAAGUGCUAUCCUUGGUGAAUUAAGGCAUAUGCAUCAAUUAACAACUCUUGACAUAUGCAUCUCUAAUGCUGAACUUUUGCCAACGAAUCUAUUUUUUGACAAGUUGAUAAAUUACAAGAUUGUGAUUGGAGACUCCAAUAUGCUUUCUCUUGGAGAUUUCAAGAUGCCCCAUAAGUAUGAAGUGUCAAGAACUUUGGCAUUACAGUUGAAAGAACCUACUGAUAUUCACUCUCAAAAAGGGAUUAAAAUGUUGUUCAAAAGAGUUGAAAAUCUGCUGUUGUCAGAUAUUUAUGGUGUUCAGAAUAUUUUUGAUGAGUUGAAUUUGGAUGGAUUUCCAGAGUUGAAACAUUUGUCCAUUGUAAGAAACUCUGAGAUUGAGCACAUCAUCAUUGAGUCAAUAGACUUCUCACAUCCACAUAAUGCAUUUCCCAAGUUGGAGUCUUUGUGUCUCUACGAAUUGAACAAGAUGGAGAAAUUAUGCUCUGCUAAGCUUACAACUAACUGCUUUAGCAAUUUGAAAUCCAUCAAAAUUAGUUGUUGUGGACAACUGAAAAGUCUCUUUGCCUUCUGUAUGGUUCAGUCUCUUACUAAACUUGAAGCAAUUGACGUUGCUGAAUGCUGUUCUUUGGAGGAGAUAGUUGGUGGGGGAACAGAUGAAAGUAAUGACAACUCUGUGAAAGUUAAUAGGCUGAAGUUACCUGCGCUGCGCUCUUUGACACUACGCUCAUUGCCAAGGUUAACUGGUUUCUUGACCAAUGAUAACAUCUAUUCUGAACCACAGUUGGUAGAGGAGCAAGUGUCAGAUGGUGGUUUCAAUGAAAUUACUGUGGUAGAGGAAUCGGCUUCCCAUUAUCUCUUAAAUGAUCAGGUGGCAAUUCCCAACUUAGAAAGUUUGGAAUUAUUGUCAAUCAACAUCCACAAGAUAUGGAGUGAGCAGUCUCCGUCCCUGCCUUUGACUCAUUUCUGCUUUCAGAAAUUGAUAAAACUGAAUGUGAAAGAUUGUAAUAGAAUGGCAUAUUUAUUUACAUACUCCAUGGCUACAAGCCUGCCAAACCUCAAAGCCCUUUCUGCAAGUGGAUGCAAGAGGAUGCAGGAAAUAUUUAUCUAUGACAAUUCUAACAAGGAUGAAACAAAGCAGAUUAGCAUCUUUCCUAAAUUGGAGGAAAUCCAAUUUAGCAGCAUGGAGAGGUUGACAAAGAUAUGGCCCUCCAGAGUCACUUCAAAAUCCUUUGGUAGUCUAACUACUGUGGUUAUUGAAAAGUGUAAAAAUCUUGUCACAGUUUUUCCUGGUCACACUGUGGGAAGAUUUCAGAAGCUAAUCAGCUUGAAGGUUUUUGAUUGUGAGUCUGUGAAAGAGAUAUUUGACAUUCAAAAUAGCACUCCACAAGGACUUUCUGGGUAUGAAACUUAUCUCCAGUUCUUUUAUAUCAAAGAGCUUCCCAGUCUGAAGAUUUUGUGGAACAAAGAUCCUGAAGGAAUUCUUUCCAUUAAAAAUCUACAAAUACUGGAGGUGUAUGGAUGCCGCAACUUAAAAUAUCUCUUCCCAUUUUCUGUGGCCAAAGAUCUUGAUAAACUUCAAUGCCUCACUGUAUUAAAUUGCAAUGAAAUGGAAGAAAUUAUUCCCAUGGGAAAAAAAUCUACUGCAAGUAGUACCCUUAAGCUUCCUCAAUUAUCCUUUUUGCAAUUGCAACAACUACCAAAACUGAAGAAUUUCUUUGGGGGCGGAGCUAUUGGGUUACCAGAAUUGAAACAGCUUGCAGUGUGCUAUUGUGAAAAUCUAGAAGCACAACCAAUAUUUGGAGAUGAAAAGGUCAUCUCCAAGCUAGAGAUGUUAACAAUGACAAUGACCCAGAAGGGAUCAGAGUGGCUAAACCAGUGGAUAAGCAAAUGUCGAAUGAACAGUUUAAAGGAUCUUCGCUUGGCACUAUUGCAGAAUAUUAAGAUUCUGUACGAAUUUCUCCACAAAAUUCCUAACCUUGAAGACUUGACUUUGUACAGUUGUCAGUUCAAGGAAGUGUUGCCUCAUGGAAGCCUUGCAGCACCUAAAAAAAUAGGGACUGUAGUACAGGUUAAGGGUUUGGUACUGUGGGAUUUGCCUGAUCUUCAGAAAAUUGGCUUUGAAAGAGAUCCAGUUUUUCAGAUGAUAGAGCGAUUAAGGGUACAUCGCUGUCCCCGUUUGAUUGAUAUAGUGCCUGCAUCAGUAUCUUUCACAUACUUAACGCUUCUGGAAGUGAGUGAGUGUAACAGCUUAAUAAACUUAAUGGCAUUCUCUACAGCAAAAAGCUUGUUUCAACUCACAACAAUGAAGAUUAUUAAAUGCAACAAGAUGGAGGAAAUUGUAAGAAAAGACGGAACUGAAGAAGAAACAGAAGAUGUUGUGUUCAGCAAAUUGAUGACUCUGGAAAUUGCAUCUCUUGAAAAACUCAAAAGUUUUUGCUGCUCUAGAAAUUGUUCCUUUAAGUUUCCGUCACUGGAAAAAUUAAUACUAAGAGAGUGUCCAUCAAUGAAAGUCUUCUCUGCGGGAGCAACAAGCACACCAAAACUACUGAAAGUACAGGUUGCAGAAGAGAAAGAAAAAUGGCGCUGGAUUGGUGAUUUAAAUGGAACCAUAGGAAAUAUUUUUACAGAGGCGUUUGCCACUGGAGUAGAGCAUUUGAAACUCAGUGAUCAGUCUAUGCUGGAAGAGAUAUGGAAGGGUCAAGUAACAGUUCCAAACAAGUGGUUCAACAAUUUGAAGUCUUUGGUCAUCAAGAAAUGCAAAUUUUUGUCGAUCGUAAUACCUUCUAAUUUACUUCCCUUCCUAAGUAAACUGGAGGAGUUGGAAGUGCAAGACUGUAAUUCUGUCAAAGUAAUAUAUGACAUGAAAGAUGUAACUGAAGAAACAAGAAGCAUGAAAAAUAUGGGACAAGUCUUGCCUUGUCCAUUCCCUUUGAAGAAGUUUAUUCUAAAGGAGCUUCCAAAUUUGGAGCACGUGUGGAACAGGGAUCCUCAAGGAAUUGUUAGCCUUAAAAAUUUGCAGGAUGUGCAUGUUGAAAGAUGUAAAAGUCUUAGAAGUAUAUUUCCAGAAUCUGUUGCCAAAGACCUGGCGCAACUUGAAAACAUUGUUGUAAGAUACUGUGAGGAGAUGGUGGAAAUGAUUGCCAGAGAUGGUGAAUCGUCCUCAGAAGCAACUAAAGAGUUUGUGUUUCCUUCUUUGUCCUCAUUGAUUCUAUGGCAAUUGCCAAAGCUCAAGUGGUUUCCUAGGGAGCUUAAGAUAAAGUUUCCUCAGUUGAAAAGUUUAGAUGUUCAUCACUGUUUAUUGACAUCUGCAUUGGAAAUCUAUCAAACAGCAUGCCUGGAGGAUCAUGCCUCUACAUCAGUUGCAAAGGUUUUUCCCAACUUCGAGAGACUUUCACUCAAUAAAGAGGAAACCAUGAUGAUCUGCCAUGGACGACAGCUUGAGGUGAACCUCCUACAGAAAUUGAAAUGCCUUAUUUUGCAGUGUUUUCAUAGUCGGUGUAGCAUGUUUCCUUAUGGAUUCCUUCAAAAAUUUCCCCACAUAGAAGAAGUUGAAGUGCGUUGUUGUUACUUCAAGAAGAUAUUCUCCAUGGAUAGACCAGACAUGAAUUACGGAGGAGUUCCCUCAAAGCUGAAGCAGUUAAAGCUGAACACUAUGCCCGAGCUCAAUUCCAUUGGGUUCGAACACUCUUUGGCAGACUCAAUUCUCAAAAAUCUUGAGAAAUUGGAAGUAUCUGGUUGUCCUCGUUUAGUAAACUUGACUCCAUCCACUGUGUUUUUCUCCAAACUGGCAGAAUUGACUGUCUCUCAAUGUCAUGAACUGGACUACUUAUUGACAUAUUCUACAGCCAAAAGUAUGCAUAUGCUUGAGAAGAUUUCUAUAAGCCAUUGUCAGUCCCUAAAAGUGGUUGUAGCUAGAGAGAUUGAUGAAUUAGAUGAGAAUGAGCAUCAUGAGAUAAUUUUUGAGAAGCUCAAAGCAUUGUACCUUGACUCAUUGACAAACCUUGCAUGUUUCUAUGAUGGCAUUUCCUCUUUGAACUUCCCAUUGUUGGAACAAGUGUCUGUAUUUGAAUGCCCUAUGAUGGAAAGUUUCUGUCAAGGUAAUGCAGUAUCACCAAACUUGUCAGGUGUCAAAUUUCAUGGGCAUAUGAGUAAGCUUAAGUUGUUUGGAGUUGAAUAUGAGGACCAUGCAGAUAGCCACUGGGGAACUGAUCUCAAAACUAUUAUUUCAGAGGCAUUUAAGGAAACGGCUGCAGAGUUUCUAUCUCAUGUAAACCAUUUGAAACUGGGAGAUCAUUCUGAGCUAAAACUAAAAGAUAUAUGGUUUGGUGUAGUUCAAGUCCCGGAUACAUGCUUCAACAAUUUGAAGUCUUUGAUUUUGGAAAAUUGUCGCUUUAUAUCAAAUGUAAUACCUUCCAAUUUACUGUCUUUUCUAAGCUCCUUGGAGGAGCUGGAAGUAAGAAAUUGCGAAUUGGUGAAUGUAAUAUUUGAUGUGAAAGAUAUUACAGGAGAUAAAAGUAAUAUGAAUAUUGGUCAAGCUGCUCCCCUCCAACUAGCCCUAAAGAAAUUGAAAUUAGAAAAUUUACCAAAUCUGAUGCAUGUAUGGAGUAAAGAUCCUCAUGGGCUUUUCAGGCUUCCUGCACUACAAGUAAUGCAUGUCAAUGGAUGUAGUAGCAUUAAAAGUUUGUUUCCAGUAUCAGUUGCUCAAGAUCUAUUGAAUCUUGAAAUUAUUGAUGUAAGCUACUGCGGGUCCCUAGAGGAACUUUUUCAACCAGAUAUAGGAGCUGAAGAAGGCAUAACUAUAAAGUUUCUCUUCCCAUGUCUGACCGUACUGAUACUAGGUAACUUGCAAAAUUUCAAGUACAUCUACCCAGGAAAAUAUGAGGUGGAAUUUCACAUGCUGAAAAGUUUAAAAGUUUACCUUUGUAAAAAGUUCACUCCUAUAUUUCGAAUUGACCAUCAGAAGCAUCCGGAUUAUGAACACCAUCAAAAUCAUCCAGAUGGUGAAUUUCAAGAAUUUCAAGAUAAUCAACAAGCCCUUCUCUCGAUUGAACAGGUUGCUGCCAGCUUGGAGCAACUGUCGCUCAAUACAGAAGAUAUUGUGAUGAUUGACCAGAGUAUAUCUCAGUUUGACCUCCUUAAUAAAUUGAAAGCUCUGGAACUGCAAUGCUUUGAAUAUGAAUCUACUUUUCCAUUUGGGUUGCUUCAAAAGUUACCCAACACUGAAAAGCUACAAGUGAGUCAUAGUUCCUUCAAGAUGAUAUUCCCCCCUGAAGCAGGUCCUUGGCUGUCUUCUUGUAUUGAUGAUACAUCCUAUAACCAUGAGGAUCACUCUAACUUCCUCUCAUUCACUGAUCAAAUACGUUAUGUGUUAGCGGCUCUACAACACACCGGGAUCCGUCCUAUUGAUAAUGAGCAUGAUGCAAAAGCAUUAGUUCCAAAGCUGAAAGAGUUAUAUCUGAAUGCUUUGCCUGAGCUCAGAGCGAUAGGAUUGGAGAACACCUGGGUGGACGUCCUUUCUAGAGGCCUUAAGACCUUGGAAAUAUGCAGAUGUCCGUCUUUAGUAAACUUGGCUCCAUCCACUGUGCUUUUCUCCAGCCUGACAAAUUUGACUGUAAAAGAAUGUGGUGGAUUGCAAUAUUUAUUCACAUUGUCAACAGCAAAAAGCAUGCAUCUACUUGAGAAUAUGUGCAUAUGCCAAUGUGAGUCAAUGACAGAGAUAGUGGACAAAGAGGAGGAUGAAUCAGAUCUUCAAGUUGACAUAACUCUCGGGCGGCUCAACACGUUGUACCUUGACUCGUUGGAAAACCUUGUAAGCUUUUAUGCAGGCAAUUCUAUUUUGAAAUUCCCAUCCUUGGAACAAGUUUCUGUGUUCGAAUGUCCCAAAAUGAAAGUGUUCUGCCAAAGUGGCGUGGAUACUCCAAAGUUGAUGGGAGUUGAAUUUAGCAACCACAUGGAUGAACCAUGUUGGUUUGGUGAUCUUAACAUCACGACAUGGAAGCAAUCUGAACAAAUGAUUACAAAGUUUGCAUGUGAAGUACAACAUUUGGAGCUUAGUGAACACCCUGAACUACAAAUGUUUUGGAACAAUGUAGUUUCUGUUCCGGACACAUGCUUUGAAAAUUUGGAAUCAUUGGUUGUGGAGAGCUGUGAAUGGUCUUCAACUGCAAUACCUUCUAAUAUACAUUCUUUGCUGAGCAGCUUGAAAGAAUUACAAGUGGGAAACUGUAAUUGUGUGAAUGCAAUAUUUGAUGGAAGAGAUAUAAGGGGUGACAGAAGGAUGAAAGAUUUGGAACCAGCCUUGUUCCUGUCAAGAAUGAUAUUGAAUCAGCUACCAAACCUGGAGCAUAUCUGGAAUACAGGGCUUCAAGGAGUUGCUGGACAACAACAAUCUGAAGAAGUAUAUAUAGAUGGAUGUGACAAGCUUAGAAGUCUGUUUCCAGCAUCAAUUGAAAAAUAUCUAAUGAAGCUUGAAAAACUUGAUGUGAAACGCUGUCUGAGGUUAGAGGAAAUUGUUGGGAGAGACAAAGUAAGCACAGGAGCAAUAAUGGAGUGUAUAUUACCGGCAGUAUCUUUCUCAAGUCUAAAAGAACUGUGCUUAUCUGAUUGUCCUAGACUGAUAUAUGUAUUCUCAUCCUCAACAGCUAAAAGUUUGGUGCAACUUGAGAAGAUGCAUAUAAACAAGUGUAAAUCAAUAAAAGAAAUUGUGGCCAAGGAAGUAAAUGAUGCAAUUCAACGUCAGAUAAUCUUUGGGCAGCUCAAAGUGUUGUCUCUAAAUUCUUUGCCAAGCCUAGCAAGCUUUUAUGAAGGGAAUUCCACAUUGAAAUUCCCUGAACUAGUUGAGGCAAUCAUUUACGAAUGCCCCAAAAUGAAGAUUUUCUCUCCAGGGUUAGAGACACCAAAGUUGGAGGCCAUCCAAAUUUCUCCACAGGCAUCAGACAAGAGGUGGGAGCAUGAUCUUAACCAUACAAUAAAGGCGUUCAUUGCAUGGAAGGUUACGAAGUUUGCAUGUGAAGUACAGUUUUUGAAACUCAUUGAUCACCCUGAACUUGAAGAUAUAUUUUGUGGGGUAGCUCUAGCGCCAUUCGAGUCAUACUUCAGCAAUUUGAAAAUUUUGGUGGUGGAGGGGUGUGAAUUUUUAUCAAGUGUGAUACACUUUAAGUUAUUUCCUUUCCUAAAUAACUUGGAAGAGUUGCAAGUACGACACUGUGAUUCUGUCAAGGAAAUUUUCGAUGUGGAAGGUUUAAUGAAUAAUGUGGUACCAUCUGCAUCCCAAAGCUUUCCACGGAUCAAGAAAUUGACUUUAGAAAAUCUACCAGAUCUGCAGCAUAUUUUGAGAAUCACAGAUCAUCAAGGAAUUUUCACAUUUCCUGAUUUGGAGAAAGUGGAAGUUAGGGAAUGUAAAAGCCUUAUCAGUUUGUUUCCAGCAAAAAUAGCCAAAGGUCUUGUGAAACUUGAAAUGCUUCAUGUAAUACACUGUGCAGGGCUAGUAGAAAUUGCUGCCAAGGAUGAGGCAGCCACAGAAGCGGAAAAUGAGUUGUUUGAAUUUCCCAAUUUGAAAUGGGUCAUAUUAUUGGAACUACCUGAGCUCAGGCACUUUUACCCUGGGCCACACAAUAAAGAAUGCCCUAAGCUUAAAGAAUUAGAUGUGUCUUGUUGUCGUAAUCCGAAGAUCUUUUCCACAGCUCAAGACUUCGGUGAGAACUAUCAGCUCUUUUCUUGGGCCAAAAGGUUAAUAGCCUGGGUUAAAUGAGUUGUUAGACACAUAAUCAUCAGAUGUAGAGAAUUUCAGGGACUUCUCCAAUGCUGGUUUUGCAAUUGUGAAGAUUAGUAUAAGGGCAGAUCAUCAUCCUGUAGCAGUUAUUGGGAGGUAUCACAAUGUGCUAGCUGUGCUUGAAUAUCAGUUGUGGCUAUAUCUGUACCCUCCUUGAUAAUAAUUAGGCAUUUCUACAUUGUUGAGAUAGAAAUGUCACUUGUAAUGUGUUACUUUAUUGUAUUUAAUCCAUGUGUGAGAUAUAUAAUAUUGUAUAAUAUUUUGUUAAGAGAUUGUAAGUGGAAGUCUCAAGUAGUUUAACCUUCAUGUGGGGUUGUCUACAAUGCAUGCAUGGCUAUGUUUGUAGGCAAAGUAUUUGAUGAGGUUCCCAAAGAGAAUCUCAUUGAUGACAUUGAGAUAUUAUAUUGCUUAGAUGCCCUCACUCCAUACUUUGCCAAAUUACAAAUAGGUUGCAGUCAUGUAUAAUGUUGGUCAUUAAACAUUAAUCUCAAUAAAUUUUCUUCUUUCUCA